AUUGAACGCUGGCGGCAGGCCUAACACAUGCAAGUCGAGCGGGGUUUUCGGACCUAGCGGCGGACGGGUGAGUAAUGCGUAGGAAGCUACCCGAUAGAGGGGGAUACCAGUUGGAAACGACUGUUAAUACCGCAUAAUGUCUACGGACCAAAGUGUGGGACCUUCGGGCCACAUGCUAUCGGAUGCGCCUACGUGGGAUUAGCUAGUUGGUGGGGUAAUGGCUCACCAAGGCGACGAUCUCUAGCUGGUUUGAGAGGAUGAUCAGCCACACUGGACCUGAUACACGGUCCAGACUCCUACGGGAGGCAGAAGUGGGGAAUAUUGGACAAUGGGAGCAAGCCUGAUCCAGCCAUGCCGCGUGUGUGAAGAAGGCCUUCGGGUUGUAAAGCACUUUCAGUAGGGAGGAAGAGUUGAGUGUUAAUAGUACUCAGCUUUGACGUUACCUACAGAAGAAGCACCGGCUAACUCUGUGCCAGCAGCCGCCGUAACAC
rnacentral:rRNA from 1 species